rnacentral:rRNA from 1 species
AUUGAACGCUGGCGGCAGGCUUAACACAUGCAAGUCGAGCGAGCGGCGGACGGGUGAGUAAUGUCUGGGAAACUGCCUGAUGGAGGGGGAUAACUACUGGAAACGGUAGCUAAUACCGCAUACCAUCAGAUGUGCCCAGAUGGGAUUAGCUAGUAGGUGGGGUAAUGGCGCACCUAGGCGACGGUCCCUAGCUGGUCUGAGAGGAUGACCAGCCACACGUGAACUGCGACACGGUCCGGACUCCUAUGGGAGGCAGCAGUGGGGAAUUUUGCACAAUGGGCGCAAGCCAGAUGCAGCCAUUCCUGGUGUAUGAAGAAGGCCUUCGGGUUGUAAAGCACUUUCAGCGAGGAGGCGUUACUCGCAGAAUAGGCACCGGCUAACUCCGUGCCAGCAGCCGCGGUAAUAC